rnacentral:lncRNA from 1 species
UCUAUCUAUUAUAAUAUAAAAACAGCCCGAAAAGAAGGCUCCACGUUCGCUCUAGAGGCUAGAAAUUCUCACGUUAAUCGAAGAAAAAUAAAAAAUAUGAACCGUUAGAUCAUGGUGGGUCCAGAUUAUAACGGUGUAGAUUAAUCGGAGAAAAUGAAAAAAUAUACACUGUUAGAUCAUGAUGGGUCCAGAUUAUAACGGUCAAGAUUAAAUAGCAGAUAUAGAUAGAAAAUUUUAUGUCAAUAGUUGUAGAAGUAAUCAAAUAAGUAUCGUUUCCAAUCGGAAGGCAGCAGAUAGAAAAAAGUACGAGCCAUUCCGGCGACACGCCAUCAACAACAAAAUAAACAUCAUGUCCUGACUCAUGACUCCUUGGCUAAUCACCUGACAAGUGACAACUCUAUAGCCUUAAUACGGAGUACGUUUUGUUAAUGUUUUAGUCGCUCGAACAAGUUAACAUAGAAAUACAACAAAAAUCAAUAAAAAAUAUAUUAGUGAAAGAACAAUAUAUGUAAAAAUAGAAUUUCAAAUAUAAAAGAAUUAUCUAUUUAAAUAUUAAAUAGAAUUAAAAUGAACAACAAAGUGAAGUAAACAAUAUUAUGUUUUUAGACUUUGAAUAACCAAAGUACAUAAAACUUAAAUAUAAACUAAAUCUAGAUCAUACGGUCUAGAUUUGUCAUAUAAAAGAAAAGCAAAUAAAUCUAAUUAUUGAUCAUACAGUCCGUAUUAGAGUCCAUGUCUGUUUUAGAAAAUCUAAUUGGGUUGUGACUAAUGCCUCCAUAUAAAAGCAUAUUAAUCGCCUCCUCAGCCGUAGAAAGCACUAGAUAGGACGACUGUAGUUGCAACAAGGCCAAGCCAGCGAAUAGAUAAAUUCUCGAGGAAAAUAAUGAAAAAUCUAAAAUGAAAAUAUAUUGAAUCAUAGAAAAAGAAAUAAAAUGUUAAUGAAAAAAGAUUAUAGAUGUUAGAUCGUACCAAGUCUAAAGUAUUGGGGUAUAUAGAAUAAUAUAAAAAGUCCAUGUGUAGAUGCAG